rnacentral:tRNA from 1 species
GAGGCUUUAGCUUAAUUAAAGUGUUUGAGUUGCAUUCAGAUGAUGUGUGUUAAUAUCACGCAGGCCUUC